UGGUAAUAAGCUAUUUUCUAUAAUUAUAUUGUAACCAAUUGUUAUUCUUGCAUGGACACAUCCAAGAUUCUUGGUCGACAAAUUUGAUGUUGCUAAGAAAGCAUGUCUCAAUUUUCUCGAUAAGUUUAAGGCGUCAGUCAUUACUGGUGAACAACUCUGGAGACAAAGUUGUAUAAAGGAUUAGCUGGUCAGUUGAUGGAUAUUGUUGUGAAUGCAGUAUGUUUGAUUUCUGUUGUAGUUUUUCUGUGAAAGGUUUCUAUACCUAUCCAUUUCGAAGCAUAUUUGAAGUAUGAAACUGUUAUAGGCUUAUAGGUUCUGUGCAUCUGCAAUUCAGAUGACUCAGUUGAUCAGUUGUAUGUUAGUAGCGAACCCCUUACAUUAAUUCAUGGGAUGUCGUAGAAACAAAUAGACUUGUGAUCCGGAUAUAACAUACAUCUUUUUAUCGAACCGCGAUUACAUUGACUCAGUUGAUCUUUUUAUGUCCAACGGAGACCCCUCCAAAAGCACCAAUACGUUGUGGGGUCCUAAGGCGCAGUAGCAAUGGGAAGAGAGGCAGGAGAAGGCCAAAUUUGAGAUGGGGAGAGGUAGUAAAAGGAGACUUAAAAGGAUAGAAUAUAUCCAAAUAUUUAGCCUUAAAUAGGACUAUAGGAGUGCAUACACCAUAGGAAACAGUUAUACAUGUGCCUGAAUCUUGACUUGUGAUUUAUGUUGGGUUUCAA